ensembl:lncRNA
UCCCGGGGCCCGCUCGCUUCUGCCUCGGCGCUCCCCUCAGUGCACAGUCCUCACCACCCAAAAAAAGCCCUGCACCCCACCGGCCCACGUGCACUUUCUUAAAGACUUUCAACUGCUGCAGCUCACAUCCCCUCAGCUACUGACCAAAUGGCUGUCUGCUCACAGGGCAGGUGGUUGGGCCAGAGGGGCCUCAGUCCUCUCAGAGAGGUUUUUGUGGUCAUCCUUCAACCACGUUCGAUGUGUGGAUGCCUGUGGAAGUUUUGGCCUGUGUUCCGUUUGGCCCACGGCAUCAGUGCCACUGUUCACAGGUCUGAGCAAUGAGACCACUUCACUGAGGCUGUCAUAAGCAAGCUCAGCUGAGAUGAGAUUGGUUCACCUGGGUCUGUUUGUUUCUCUUCACUUCAGGAUUUAGCCUGCCCUUGACACCUGACAGGCUUGCCUGAGGAUCUUUGAAUUUCUGCAAAAUGUUGCUCUUCUACAAGUGAUUCACUGGUAGACCUGAAGCUAGCCAAAUUUGUUAGAUCAGUAUUCAUCCAUUCUCAUCGCAAAAUUCACAAGUUCUGGUGUUCAUCUUAAGAGAUAACCUUCUUGUGCACUAUUAAAUGCUGAUGUCUGAAAGUUGUAUCUAUUUUUCAAAGAACAAAAGGGCAAGUAGACAUAUGCUGAAGCGUGGCCUAACCAGCAAACACUAAACCCAAAUAUUUCUGAAUGUCUGGAAGGUUGCGUUUGUCCAGACCUUGACCUCAUAUUUGGGGAUAAUGACUGUGUUCUAGAAGACUGAAGCAAUGAAAACAAUGAAAACUGCAAACACUUCGGGCUUUCACAGCCGUGUUUGGAUCAACACCAUUGUACAUUGUAAAAACACUUUUCUGGUAGCUUUUUUUAAUUUAAUUUUAUUUUAUUUUGAGGUUGGGAUUUAUUUUAUUUUAUUUUAUUUUUAAUACAAAGCAGUAACUGGAGUUUAUCAGAAGUUUUACAUGGGUUUGACUUUCUGUAUUUUUUCUCCAGACCUUUGUUCUAUUUAGUUUUCCUCUGGGAGUAUGAUCUUCAGAUUAAUUUUGAGGUAACACAAAAUGUAUCAUACUGCAGGAUGCUACUUUAUUUGCACUGUAAUUCUGUUUGGCAUUUUCUUGUGUAUACUAGGGUCCUUGGAGGGCUGUGGCUUACAUAAUGUUCAUCGUGUUCCCCCGCCUAAGAUAUAUAUGCGUGGUGCACUGCAACAUUUCGGUUUUUGAAUGUUGAAGUGUUUAGUUGCAAUUGAAGCCUUCACAACUCUCAACCUUUCCAAAAUGAUCACAUUUUUUUCUCAUUCUCAUUGAGAAAAAUUUGUCUAAUUUUUCAAAUUAAAAGAAAUUCUAAAAUUUUGAAUAAAAACAAUUACUGAAACUCAGAAUUUCUCACUGAUUUAGAUGUCCUCACUUGAUAGCUCUACUGAGCUCCAUAUCUGUGCUGUUGUUUUGCAGACCCACUGGCAUGAAAACAAGAUUUUGUCCUUUUCCAUUGGCAAAGACAACUUAAUCUCUGUUUAUUUUGGAUAUGUUUGUUUAAUUCCUCAUUUGAGCACUACCAUAAAUUAUUAGGUCAUAACUGCCCUGGGAAAAGAGCUAGUUUAAUAAUUAACUUGUGCUUGCUAGGCUCUUCAGCAGAUGAAAAAAAAUACUGUAGAUUACACAUGAAUCAUAGAAACAUAGAAUUGAAUGGGAUCUCAAGGGGCUAUGUAGUCUGUUAUUUCUCAGAAUUUUUAAUCAACACUGUAACUAUCCAUCCUGAGCUUAGUUAGAACAAAUCACCAACAACAAAAAAUCUAAGGAAAAAAAAAGUCCAGAGAACUACCUGUGCAGUCCUAAUGAACCUAUCUGGUACUAAACGUGACAUUUUCAAAUGUUUUCUAAGCCCAACCUUGUUAUGGAUUACCUUGUAAUAACUUGAACGCUCCAUCGUAGUUCUAGGGAUCUCAUCCACCAAGUGUGAGAUAUUCAUCUGAUCCAUCUUCUCGCUGUGAAGAAAGACCACAAUUAUCUCGAUAACAGUAGGUGGCAGUCCCUCUGAUUUAUACUUAAAAACAUGAGUGACAUGGAAUGUACAACAUUCUUGGGUAAUACAUUUUGGUACUAAUUUUUUCUUCUAGUUACAACAUGUUACCACAUAUCAUGUCAUGUAAAAAAAAAUCCUUCAUAUUCUGUCCACAUAUUUAGUGGAUGUGAAAAACGGUAUUAUCACCCUCUUUGUAAUAAUCUUUUAUGUACUUGAAAACUGUUGAAUCCCACAUAACCUUUAACUUUCUAUAUUAAAACAAAUAAUCUUUCAGUUUUUCUUUAGGAAUACGGUUAUUCCAAACAAUGUCCCUGUUGAUUUUCCCUGCUUCCAAUGUAUCUACAUCCUGAGUUAAAUAAUGCUGCCUCAGAUUAAAAUGCAGUAUUAUAGCUGAGUCCUCACCAGUGCCAAAAAGAGCAUGCUAAUUAUCUCCUGUCUUACAUACAGUGUUGCUAGCAGACAAUUCAAGAGAAUCUAGGAUUACAUUUAUCUCUUUUCCUCAACGACAUCACACACUGUUGACUCAUCCAUGGCCUUCAUUAAUCACUAGAUCUUUAUCUGCAGUGGCAUUCUCUAGUUGUGCUUUUGAUUUUGUCCUCCUCAGUGUAGUCUUCUGCGACUGUCUUUGUUCAAUUUUUUGAUGCUGGAUUUCAGAAUCGUUCUGAACAU